UACAGAGGUCUCAAGCGUUGUUCGGAUUCAUUGGGCGUAAAGGGUGCGUAGGCGGCGCGGUAAGUCGGGUGUGAAAUCUCGGAGCUUAACUCCGAAACUGCAUUCGAUACUGCCGUGCUUGAGGACUGGAGAGGAGACUGGAAUUCCUGGUGUAGCGGUGAAAUGCGCAGAUAUCAGGAAGAACACCUAUGGCGAAGGCAGCUCUCUGGGACGGUACUGACGCUGAGACGCGAAAGCGUGGGGAGCGAACAGG
rnacentral:rRNA from 1 species